UAAGCGCGCGUAGGUGGUUUGUUAAGUUGGAUGUGAAAUCCCCGGGCUCAACCUGGGAACUGCAUCCAAAACUGGCAAGCUAGAGUAUGGUAGAGGGUGGUGGAAUUUCCUGUGUAGCGGUGAAAUGCGUAGAUAUAGGAAGGAACACCAGUGGCGAAGGCGACCACCUGGACUGAUACUGACACUGAGGUGCGAAAGCGUGGGGAGCAAACAGGAUUAGAUACCCCAGU
rnacentral:rRNA from 1 species